GGGGAUGUAGCUCAGUGGUAGAGCGCUUGCCUAGCAAGCACAAGGCCCUGGGUUCGGUCCCAAGCUCCA
rnacentral:tRNA from 1 species